GCCUGCAGAGAGCUGCUGAGCUCACCACAGCAUGCUCAUCUUGCUCUGGAAUGGGGAAAUAGCACUUCCUGACCUAAGACUCAUGUUUGAAAACUCCCAUCAGAAGGAAAACUCAAGGAGAAGCAAUCAUUUCGGGACAGCCAAGUCCAUGUCAGAUGUGGAGGAUCCAAAGAGUAGGACAUGCUCCCUCGGCUGCUCAUAGUUCCCAAGGAAAUGAAGAAGGAGCUAAUGGUUCUGUCUGGGAAAGCCAGGAAAUGUUUCACAGAAGCUGUGACAUUUGACAUGGAUCAUACAAGAUGAGGAGGAGUGUACAGGGUGAAGAGCCAAAGAUAUUUUCUCGAUGAGAAAACUGAAGCCCGGCAGGAUUGGAUAACUUAUCUAAAGUCCUGCAACGAGUAAGUGAAAAACAGAAUGCAAAAUCGACCUCUUCCUGUGACACGGGAUUGCGCCUUUUCCUCUGUGUCAGCUCUUGGAGUUGUCGUUCUCCGUCACAACUAGGCUGUGACCAGAGGCCGCCUGGACCCAGGUCCCGGCCUCUACACAACCUCUGCAGUGCCCCAAGCCUGACUCUGCCACCGGGUGUGGCCGCUGCCCUUUCUCCACAGUGCUGAAAACAUACUCUUAAAAUCCUGGCCUGAAAUCAUUCAGCGAAUUGUGAGUCAUCCAGCAACAGAAUACUAUGGAGCCCUUAAAAAGUAUAUUUAGAGGGUUUUUAUGGCCAUGAAAAGAAAUGCUUGUAUAUAAAACUAAUAAUAAUAGACAAAUACCUGUAUUCAUAGCAUGAGAUCACCAAUAGAAAAAAAAAAAAUUUCCUAGAGGAAAAGCCAGAAAGGAAAGUCACCAAAUGCUAACAGUGGUUAUUUCUAGAUGAUGGACUUACGGGUGCCUAUUUCUCCUUCUUUUGACUUUUCCAUAUCUCACAAUUUUCCACAAUAGACAUGCAUGGCUCUACAAUGGGGAGAGGAGGAGGGUAGAAUAUUUAGCACCUGACUGUGGCUUGAGAACUGUGUGACAUCCUUUUCCCAGGCACUUCCAAGACCCAGGCUGGAGCGGCUCCAUGUGCGGAGCCUGCCAGAGCCUCCCAGCAGGCAGCUGCGCCUGGGAAAACAGGCCCUUCCGCGGGGGUGGGCAUCUGGGUUUGAUUUCUCCACCCUCCUGUUCUCCUUUCUCGCUUCACCUGAAUAUCCCCUGCAGAAGGCACAGGCUGCAGCCUGAAUCCAGCCCGUCCCUCCCCAGCCGGUCUGCAUCUUCAGCUCUGCAGCCCCAAACCAGACACCCUGCCCUGACUGCCCAAGACGAGAGCCUGCCGGGUGACAACUUCUAUUCUGGGGGCCUCAGAAAACUCCCCUAGCCCUGUGUCGCUAUGUGUGCAGACUUCUCAUAAGACAGUAAGAACCAGAAAGGCACCCAGGAACCCAGAAUGUAAAAGGAACUAUCGCCUCCCUCUCAUUGCUGUCACCCAGGACCACAUAGGAGGCUUCAGCAACUGCUUCUGUCCACGCCCUUCUUCCUUUGACGUGCAUUUAAUCAGGGCUUCCUGAGGAGGAAGUUGAGUAGUCCCUGCCUGGAGGGGUCAGGUCCACUGGGAGAGACUCCAGACAACACCCUGGAUUAGCAGGAGGGUCGAUGCCACUUCCAGGGGGUGGCUGGGUGAGCGGCAGAUCCUAUGUCUGGGAAAGGCUGGCCAGGAACAGGGGGUCCGGGCUGGAUGCCUGAUAGAUGAGGGGUGAUCAGACAGAAGAGAGCUAGGUGAGCGUUUUGUGCAAAGGCAGCGGCAUGAGCAAAGGAGCAGACACACAAAUGAGAGCGUGUGAGGCGUCUGGCAGGAGGUAAGGUGGUUAGAACUGCACUGUCAGUCCUGCCUGCAGAGCCGAGGAGGUAGGAGCUCCUUCUGGCAGAGGAGCCAGGAGCAGACCUGCCGUUAGAUGGGAGACUGUAGCCACACAGGAGACAGAGCCAAAGCAGGACAUCCAUGGAGCAAGGAGGGGGAAGGGGUGGCAGGCCUUCUACCGCCCUGCCCCCUACGCUGCCCUGGAAAUCCAGCCUGGAAUAAGAGCCACAUAUUUAUUCAGCUCUGGUCUUUAAACGAGGAACCUCAGCCUUUCACAGUCCUCCCAUGCCUGCAGCCUUGCCAUUGGGAACCAGAGAAGGUUACUCCCAUCCCUGGAGGCCCUAGCCUGUGACUAUGAACCUGGAAGAAGCUGGCAGUCUUAUUUGUCAGACAGACUAUAGAGGGAGCUCUUCUGCAAGAAAUGAGGCAAAGCUGUAGUAAUCAAAACAGUAUGGUACGGGCACAAAAAUAGACAUAAAGAUCAAUAGAACAGAAUAGAAAACCCAGAA